UCCGUAGGCGGUCUUAUAAGUCAGUGGUGAAAUCCCUUCGCUUAACGGAGGAACUGCCAUUGAUACUGUAGGACUUGAAUUCUUAGGAAGUAACUAGAAUAUGUAGUGUAGCGGUGAAAUGCUUAGAUAUUACAUGGAAUACCAAUUGCGAAGGCAGGUUACUACUAAGGGAUUGACGCUGAUGGACGAAAGCGUGGGGAGCGAACAGGAUUAGAUACCCCAGUA
rnacentral:rRNA from 1 species